UGACGUACUUGUCACGUGACUGGAAAAAUAUUUCUUCCGUGAAGGGCUAGUUAAAAAGCGACAUACGUGAGCGAAUUUCCACUUUAACUGAGUUAUUAUUGGAUAUUAUUUCUCCCAUUUAAAGACGCUCUGUCAUGUCAACAAAAGUGGAGUCGAGGAGGAGUGACUCCAGCUCCAAAACAGACGAAAGAAGGAGAUCCAGGAGCAGAGG